GCCCUCCCUUUUCCCUCUCCCUGCAGGGAGCCCAGGGGUCUGGUCCUUUGGUGGUUCUGACUGCUCAGGACCAGUGGGACAUCUCAAAGGGGAAUCUGAGGCUCCAGGGUUCAGCCCGGCAGAGAGGGUUCUGUGUCUUGGCACUGAAGGGGGCAAGAGAUGCUGGCCCGCCUUAUAUCAUUCUUCAACUUGGCAGACAGUUAUCCUAAAAAAAAAAGAAAAAAAAUCUUAAAAAAGGGAAGCCAAUGUUCUUUCCUUGUUCAUAAUGGAAAAAAGAUUUGGUUUUUUUCUAAAGUAAAAUAUUAUGAAAAUAGUAUUCCGUCUGAUAGUCUACACAAUUUAGGUUACAGUUGGAAUGGUACGCUGAUUCUUAAAUGAAAAAAUGAACAAGUCUGAAAGCAAAAUCUGAAAGCAAAAAUCAUAAAAAUAAGAUUCAUUUGUUUUAUAAUCUGUAAAAUUUAGGUUAAAGUUGAAGCUAUAUGCUGAUUCUUAGAAUGGACAAGGAAUGAAUCAAAUGUAGAUUUCAUUGGGGGUAGUUUUCUGACAACCCUUUACAUUGUUGUAGUUUUCUGUUUCAGUCAUAAAGAAGGUCCCUUUGGCAGAAAUGAUGAAGGGCUCCCUCCGUUCUGCCUCAUGCUUUUAGUCCUUAGAUCUUCAGAUCAUUCUCUUUGGAGCCAUCGAUCCUGUGAUCAUCCUUGUAGAGUUUCUCUUCCUCGAUUGCUUUCUGGUCCCUCUUCUAGACUCUCAUAUGCUGAUGGUGUCAUCCAGCAUCACUUUCAUGACUUGGUGGAACCCCUCAUUUUUGCUCUGCAUUCAUUUCGCCACGCAUUUCCCUUAUGUCUCUUGGGAGCCGCUGCCUCACAAAACCCAGCACGUAGUGCGUGGGGAUAGUGAAAAAAAAAUUGGAGUGUUUGUCUAGGGACUUCUUCUAGUCCACUAGUGAAUAUUUUCAUGUUAGAAUGGCUUUUGCUUCUCUGUACAAACUUGUAUCUGCACAGACUUAGCUGAUGACCUCUGUUAAUGGGGCCCCCCUCUAACUCCUGGGUGAGGCUUCUGGGGUUCAAAAAUAAGUAAAUACAGACCUUGAGUUUAGAAUGCAUGGGCUGCUUAGGGAGACAGGAGUGUAUAUAUUCUUAGGAUAUACUGUGAUAAAAUGCUAUCAUAGACAUAUUACGCAAAGCGGGAGGUAGGGCAGCAAAGGUGUCCCAGGAACAAUGAUAUCUGAACUGGGUUUUGAAGGAUGGGUAGAAGUUUGCCAGGUAGACAGUGGGUAGUGGGAAGUGCAUUCCUAGCAGGAGGAACAGCAGGUGUAGCGAUAUAAAAUAAAAUAGCAUGUGGUUUAGAAUGACUGUUCUGUAGAAUGGAAGGGGGAGGAGAUGUUUAGAUGGGGCCUGGGAGACAAAGUGGGGCCAGGGCAUGAGGACCUUUUAGAAGUCACAAGAGCUUUGAGAAGUUGGCAGGGGGACUGGGGCUUGAGAAAUGGGAUGUAGGGCAACUGACCCUGAGGGAGAUUAGGAAAUGGGGCCAAAGAGGCAGGAAAACCAGGUGAAGCUCUGACCAGCUAAGGGGUAGAGAUUUCUGGAUAAUGAAUAAUUCUCAUUUGUUCUCAGAGGGCAUUUUCUUUUGCUUUUGCCGUUCCAAUCUGUGGAUAUUCUAUAAGUCCCUGUAGCUGUGUGUCUCUCUAGAGUGAGAUGCCAAGUAAAAGGAAGGGAGCAACUACUAGGUGCCUUGGCCUGACUUAGGGACAUUGAUCCCCGCAAUCCUGGAGGUAGGUUGUAUCAGUCAGCUGAGGUGGCUAUAACAAAAUAUUAUAGACACAUGAGAGAGAGAGGGCAUCCUUUCUGUCUGGUCUUUUCUUAUAAGGGCACUAACCUUACCUGGAGGAUCCCACACUCAUGAUCUCAUCUAAACCUAAUCACUACCCAAAGGCUCCAUCUGCAAAUACCAUUACAUUGAGGGUCAGGACUUCAACAUGCAGAUUUUGGAGGGACACCGUUCAGUCCAUAGCUGUGGUGUUCUCCCCAUUUUGAAGAUGAGGACAUUGAGGCUCAGAGAGAAGUGACCUGCCCACCAGAGUAACAACGUCAGUACAGAGCUGGGAUUCAAACUCUUGUCUUGGACUGUGGAAGCCUCAUAGCUCUGGUUUUGGAGUUCACAGGCUGAGAAUUGAGCCCCAUGAUGGCCCUGUGCCUGCAGUAGAUCACUUCUCCCAGGUUCUCUUGCCAAGCUUAGAGUGUCAGAGGCCCUUCGUAGCCAUUGGAGCUUCUGGCCCCAGAGUAAGGUGCGGGGAGGCAGGACACCAUCUGGAUGGCCCAAGGGUGGAAUGCUGUAGUGGGUAAUGAUAAGAGCUCUGGAGCCACCUCCCUGUGCUCAAAUCUGAGCUCAGCUGCAAACCUGAUGGAUGAGCUCAACAAGAUAUUCAGCCACUCUGAACUUCAGUCUCCUCACCUGUGAAAUGGCGAUACGAUAGUGCCUACCCUAUUGGUUUAUUUACAAGGAUCAAGUAAGAUGAGUACGAAGCAGUUAGACAUGGUGCCUGGAACAUAAUAGGUACUCAAUAAAUAUUAUUGCUGCAAUGUUUAUUAAUUAUAUAAUUUAAAUCUAGGUUUGGUUGCUUGUAACAGGGACCCAAAAUAACAGUGGCUUUAACAAGGUGAGAGUUUAUUUCUCUCUCAUGGUGGCAUUUAAGUGGGUGUGGUGGUUUCAUUCCAUUUUCACGCGGGCAGGUCCUGUCAGUCCGGCUGCUCUGCCUGCUUUGGGCCACAUUGCCUUGGCCUGCCUGUGGAGCCUCCCCAACUCCCUCAAGUGAAUUUCAUACAUGUCACUAUAUAUAUGCUGUAUGUUUACUUUUUCCUUUUAAAAAUAAGAUGUAUUUUUUUUUCUAGUUACAAAAGUCAUCCAUGUUCAAUGCACAGAAAUGGAUUUUUAGAAAAACCCACAAGAAGACAAAAAACAAAACCCUGUUAACCUCUUGGUACAUGUCCUUUGGUAUAUAUCUGUAAUAAGCAUAUUUAUAGCUGUAAAUAUCACAGUCUGUAUUUGAGUUAGGUUAUCCCAAACACAGUUAUUGAAUCUGGUGAAAAUUCAUCACACCAUCUUCCUGUUGCACAACUUCCGACAAACAGUCUAAAAUUUAAUAGGAUCAUUCCGUGUACUUGGCGUUACCACUUAAAACUGUAAUGUUUAUAUCUUUGCACCUCAGCGCAAACACACCUGCCUCAGUUUUUUAAACAGCUACUUAGUAUUCCAUUGUAUGUGGAUGGGCUGUAAUUUAUUUAACUCAUUCCUUAUUGCAGGUUAAUUGGGUUAUUUCCAGUUUGUCAUUAUUAUAAACAACACUACAGGAACAACUUUGGACAUAUAUCUUUGCUCAUUUGUAAAUAAGUUCCUAGAAGUGAUUUUGCAGGUCAAAGAUCACAGAGGGUUUAAAAAAGAUUAAUUACCUACUUGAAAAAAAUAAUUGCUAUGUGCCUACAAUGCAAUAUUGAAAAACUACAGGAGGGCAUAGAGUGAAAAGGAAUUCCCUAUCCACCCUGACCCGCUCCCUCAUCCCAUAGGCAAUCACUUUCAGGAAGUUCUUUUUAAACUUAUUUUGACAUAAUUUUAGACUUCUAGAAAAGUUAUAAGAAUAGUACAGAGAAUUCCCACAUACACCCUUCAUCCAGAUUUCCCCGAUAUUACAAUCCUUACACACUUACUUUAUCACAUUCUGAGCUUUUUGGGAAUAAUUUGCAGACAUGAUGCUCCUUUACCCUUUCUCUUUAGUGUGUAUUUUCUAAAAAUGAGGAUAACCUCUUACAUAAGCACAGUGUAGUUAUCAAGAUCAGGAAGUUAAAUCAAUACAAUUCUGUUACCUAAUGUACCCUAUUCAAAAAUUUCUAAUUGUUCCAAUAACAUCCUUUAUAGACAAAGAAAAAAAAAUGUUUUUUCUGGCUCAGGAUCCAAUCCAGGAUCCCAGAUUGUAUUUGGUUGUUGUGUCUCUUUAGUCCCCUUUAAGCUGGAACAGUUCUCAUUCUGUCUUUGUCUUUCAUGACCUUAAUAUUUUGGAAGAGUAUAAGCCAGUAAUUUUGUAAAAUGCCCUCAGUUUGGGUUUGUCUGAUUUGACCUCAGGGUGGAGCCAGGAUUGGCACUUUUGGCAGGAGUAUCACAAAGCGACGCUGUGUCUUUCUCAGCGUGCUGUAUCAGGAGACACAUGACUCUGGUUUGGCCUGGUGCUGGGGAUGUUACUUUGGGUGACAUAGUUUGGGUGGCGUUUCUGGCAGGGAGUUUUCAUUUAAUGGUGCUGCGAAACUGCAUCCUUGCUGCCGGAGCCUGUGCGAUUCCUGUCUUCUUCCUCCCACUAGCUCACCAGGUCUCUGCCCUCCUGGUAGCUCUGCUCUCACCUCUCCUGCUCCUUCUUUCUUGCCAUCUGGAGGCAUUUAGCUUGUGGUUUUCAGGGUGUGGCCUGAAGGGGCGUCCCCGGGGCCCACCACAGGUGCAGCCUGACUGCGGGUUUCCCACGUGCCCUGGUGUACAGAUGGCAGGCCCCAUGGUUCUGUUUUUAACAUGAAUUGCCCACCUGCCUCUGGCAUUCCUCAGUGGUACUGCAUUGUAAACGGGCCCAUUUGCUGGUGAAUGUUCUGUGGUGGGGGGAUGGUGGGACCUUUUCCUUAGAGCGGCUUGAGGCCUGAAACUGCUCUUUUGUGGACAUAUUAGCGAGUGAUGUUUAGAGUAAAGACCAUGCCUAUGUGCUUUGCAGUUUAUGAGCUGUUUGGCACCAGUGUGUCCUUUGACUCUUGUUAUGAUCUUAAGAAAAACUGAGAGGCAGGUCCACUUGGAAUUCCUACCUCAUUUUAUGGAUAAGGAAACUGAGGGUCAGAGAUGGGAAGGAGCCAGACCUGGAUCCUUGUCUGUCUGACUUUUUUUUUUUUUUUUUUAAUUUUUAUUGGAGUAUAGUUGAUUUACAAUGUUGUGUUAGUUUCAGGUGUACAGCAAAGUGAAUCAGUUAUACAUCUAUCCAAUCCUUUGUAGAUUCUUUUCCCAUAUAGGCCAUUACAGAGUACUGAGUAGAGUUCCUUGUGCUCUACAGUGGGUCCUUGUCUGACUGUUUCAUGUAAGAGAUUGUCCCUGGUGCUCAGAGCAGGUUAUGAACAAGCCAAACAAGACAGAUAUGGUCCUGGCCUCCAGAGCCCACUUGCUGGUGGAGGAGACAGAGAAGUAAGCAAAUAAAUGAUUCCAGAUAAUAAUUGCUAAGAAGAAAAUACAACUGGAGAGCAUAGUAGGAAGUGGCUGGGGCUGGGCUCUGGGGGGCACCUUGAGACGGGGUGGUGGGGGAGGGACUCUCUGAGGAGGUGACAUUUGAGCUGAGAUGUGAAGGCUGAGCAGGUGCUGCCAAGGGGAGGACUGGGGGGAAGAGUGUUCCAGGUCAUAAGAACAGCAAGUACAAAGAACCUGAGGUGGGGUCGAGUUUGGUGUGUUCAGGAGACCGGGGGGCCUGGAGCAGAGGGUGUGAGAUGGGCAAUGGGGAAAGGUGAAAGCUGAGAGCUGGGAGUGAGUCAGGCCAGUAGGGCCUUGUAAGCCAAGGUGGGGAUUUUUAAGCAAGGGUGUGACAUAGUCUGAUUUUGAUAUUUUUUUUAAUAAAAUAAGUAAAUUUAUUAAAAAAAAAGGUUUUGUCAUAAACACAUAAUUUUAUUUUUUUAUUUUUAUUAACAUCUUUAUUGGAGUAUAAUUGCUUUACAAUGGUGUGUUAGUUUCUGCUUUAUAACAAAGUGAAUCAGUUAUACAUAUACAUAUGUGCCCAUAUCUCUUCCCUCUUGCGUCUGCCUCCCUCCCACCCUCCCUAUCCCACCCCUCUAGGUGGUCACAAGGCACCAGGCUGAUCUCCCUGUGCUAUGUGGCUGCUUCCCACUAGCUAUCUAUUUUACGUUUGGUAGUGUAUAUAUGUCCAUGCCACUCUCACUUUGUGGCACAUAUAUACAAUGGAGUAUUACUCAGCCAUAAAAAGAAACAAAAUUGCGUUAUUUGUAGUAAGGUGGAUGGACCUAGAGUCUGUCAUACAGAGUGAAGUAAGUCAGAAAGAGAAAAACAAAUACUGUAUGCUAACACAUAUAUAUGGAAUCUAAGAAAAAAAAAAAGUCAUGAAGAACCUAGGGGCAA